GGAUGUGAGGGUGAUCUGGCUGUGACAUCUGUCACCCCAUUGAUCGCCAGGGUUGAUUCGGCUGAUCUGGCUGGCUAGGCGGGUGUCCCCUUCCUCCCUCACCGCUCCAUGUGCGUGUGCGUCCCUCCCGAAGCUGCCCGCUCAGUCGAAGUGGACGGCCUUCCCUAAAUAGAGACGGACCAGUCUUCGGUCGAGGGUAUAUGAGUAGCUGCGCUCCCCUGCUAGAACCUCCAAACAAGCUCUCAAGAAUCUUGAUUUUCCAGGUGGGCUCUAGGCUCGAUUAACAGUGUGAUUAGUAAUGUCCUCA
ensembl:misc_RNA 7SK 7SK RNA